rnacentral:lncRNA from 1 species
AAAUGUCAAAAGAAUAACGUGGCAUGUUCUGAAGAAGCAAAACAACACCUUGCACUAAACGCCAACGUUUUUGUAUUUUUACUUUGCUUUCUCCGUCGGCACGCUGCUGCCUCUCAACUCUCCUCGUUGCUUCAACUCUUCCUUUCCUUCUAUGAUUCUUUCGUCGGCAAAGGUCAAUUCCGUCAUUUGACACUUUAUGAUAAUAUCAGAUAUAAGUAUGCGCAUUUAAUAUACCUUUUUCUCUCAUAAAAGAUUUGUCGUUGAACAGUUACAAAAGGCUGUUUGGAUACCGAGAAAAUUAACCGAGAAAGUGAGAAAUGGGAGUCUGCUGUACCGUACAUCCGCCUUGGCCGUACAGCAGAAUAAUAACAGCAGUAAUUCAGAAUUUAAAUUGCAAGAACAGUUAACGGGAAGAGACAAGCAGCUAUUAGGUUCAUCAAGAUCUUUCCAAGCUCCAGAGCCCUUCAAGGAUACAAAUAUACAGAGAGAAACCAGAAAAAAAUUGACUUAACCGCUUCUUGCAAUUUACUUCUUCUGAACUUUCCAGAGAUUCUAAACUGUGCUAAUUCCAUCAAUGUUGCCUUCGAAGUAAUUUAAAACAAAUUUCAAGUUUUAUGGCACCUCCAACUAAGACAAAUCAUUUCAGUAUUGAUCAUUCAAUGAAAUGAGAUUUUCAAGCUCAACAAUUUUUGUUGUAUGACCAUAAAAACCAUCAAGAUUAAAGAGAGAAACUAACCUGAUUGAAGCCAGCUCUAAAAGCUUCCAUUUGCCGCAUGAUGCCUGUCUUGACAGUGGCAUCAACUACCAAGGAUAUGUAUUCCUCCAAGUUAUUAAUGUCAACCUAAAAAAUUUGCAAAUGUCAAAAAACAUACAAAUUUAGAUGAGAAGCAACAGGGGAAAACCAUUACGGUACCAUACAUUUUCAUCUCCUGGUUUCAAAAUAUAGUCUGGAUAACCAGGAAGAGUAAAAUCCAGGCAAAGAUCUUCAAUCGGGGCCCCACGAAAACGCAAGUCCACAACUUCUUCGCAAUUAUCAGAGGUCAUUGAUUCUAAAUGUUGUUUUCGACAAACGAUGACAUGCAACUCUUGCAAAAUCUUCCCAAACUCGGCAUCAAAGGGAAUAAUAUCAUGCAAAUCAAGCUCCUGCAAAGGUUUAGAAAUUAUAGGCUUUGAAAAACAAAAGCAAAUCAUAUUGUUUAAAAUAGAUAGCAGUAAAAUUUGUUCACUGUAAUUAAAACAGUUUCGUCAUAAGCUUACGUGACCAAGAACAAGUUUGUAGAAUGCUGUUGAAAAUGGCAGGUCUAAAAGCCUCCCAUCUUGAAGAGCUUUAGCCAUUACACGUCCAAGCAGUCGGAAGUAUUCAAUAACUUUACUAAACUGGCCACCUUCAGAGGCAUCAGCACUAGGAGGCCAAGGUCGAGGGAACAACCCAAGAGGAGCUUGAACUAGAUCACCAGAUAUGUAAUAAUAUUGACAAAAUUAUUAAAAAUAUAAUAAAUUUUUCAUUAUACAAAUGAAAAAUUAUAUCAACAUAACUUCCAACUUACAGCAAUUUUUAAGUUACAACAGCUAGUGUUUACUUUAGUACUGUAAUUUUUAAAUUACAGCUGUAUAACCUUAUUUCUAAACACACCCUUUGAUAGACGAAAUAAACUUGGAAAUGAUGUUAAUUCAAAGAGAGUAUUCUUUGUUUUUAUUCGAAUUAACAACAAACAUUAAUAUAAAGAUUCUCUGAUUCCUUAAAUAUGGAUUUGCUAUUAUACAUAUGAAGUUAUAGUUAAUUAAACAAAAAUAAUAUCAUAUCAUAUGGUGUAAUAGUUAAUCUACACAAAUCCGCAUUUGGAUAUAUGGACCUUAGAAGCUCUGAAUAUUAGUAGUUGAUUGUCUAAUGUUUUACUUUUAAAUGUACACGAAUAAUUUAAUCAUGGGGCAUCUCUAAGAGCUUUAAAGAAAUAGUUGCGUCUAGUGAAUAUAAAUAACCAGAAUUUAAUUACAAAAAAAGAUUUUAACAUGCUGGAGAUCAACUUACACUUAAAGGGAGCAGCCACGAGUCUACUUGCACUCCAGUGGGCAUAAAAAAAUAUUAUUAAGAUCGAAAAGAGAUUUACUGACAUAUAAAAAGAGAGAUUACUGACUUAUUUUAUAAUGGAUAAAGAUGUAGCAUCAAUUCAAAUAUUAUGCCAGCCAGUAAUGUGUUGCAAGUAUGCAGUGAUGACCCCCUUCAAGAAAGCAUAACCUUUUUUUUAUUUUAAUUUUUUCAUGACUCUGUAAAAUAAUACAAUUACGCUAAAUAUAUCCCAUAAAAGGAAAUAUUUUAAUUUUUAUGAUUUUUAUUGUAAACUAAAAGACCAUAAUGCCCAUACCAAUGUCCUAAUAGCUCACAGGUGGCACUUUCGGCUGGGCCCAUAUCCACUGCUGGAGUCCCAGCCCACUUGUCUCCUAUAUGGAUAUCGGGACCCACACCGAAAUGUCAAAAGAAUAACGUGGCAUGUUCUGAAGAAGCAAAACAACACCUUGCACUAAACGCCAACGUUUUUGUAUUUUUACUUUGCUUUCUCCGUCGGCACGCUGCUGCCUCUCAACUCUCCUCGUUGCUUCAACUCUUCCUUUCCUUCUAUGAUUCUUUCGUCGGCAAAGGUCAAUUCCGUCAUUUGACACUUUAUGAUAAUAUCAGAUAUAAGUAUGCGCAUUUAAUAUACCUUUUUCUCUCAUAAAAGAUUUGUCGUUGAACAGUUACAAAAGGCUGUUUGGAUACCGAGAAAAUUAACCGAGAAAGUGAGAAAUGGGAGUUAUUAGUACAAUCUUCGGUUUUUGUGGAUUUGGCGUCGGGAUUUCGUCGGGGCUUGUG